rfam:Oryza barthii chromosome 2, whole genome shotgun sequence.
AAUAACAUGUGCUACCGUGUUCAACGUUUAACUAUCAGUCUUAUUUGAAAAUUUUAUGAAAAUUUCAAAAAAAGUUAGCCACACAUAAAGUUCUAUUCAUGUUUUAUCAUCUAAUACCAAUAAAAAUACUAAUCAUAUUUUUUCUUUAUAUAAGACAGAUGGUUAAACUUUGGACACGGAAACCUAUUACUGCAUUUGUA